CGAGUGUGAUAUAUGCGAUACGUCACGAGUACCCAUUUUGUAUCUGUUUUAUCCAAUGACACCCGAGGUUUUGUCACCCACGUGCCUAGGGGUGGAGCUAUACAAUUGAUAAAAACCUGUCACUGUGAUAUGUUUCCCGCCAAUUUCUGACACGUUUCAUUCUGUCACAGUAGCCUAUUCAUUUCUAGUGAGACUGUCAACCAUGGCGGAUCAGGUACUGAUCAUUGAUGUCGAUGUGUUUGCCGACCUCGACCAAGUAUGAGUAGGAACUGGAAGAUAGUGACACGGUAGCUACUGACAUUGGAUUAUUUGAUACCAAGGAAUUAACGCAACCAAUUGUUGUAAAUAAACUGAAUGGUAAUGUGAAAAACAUGUGAAAGACUGCAGGAUUCGAGGGAAAUUACACAAACGGUAACUGCUCCGGAAAGAGGACCUGCGCUACUUCCCUUUACCAAGCAGGUUUUAAUGAACAACUCAAUAUGGACAGGACGGAACAUCACAGCAGGGCUGUACGUGCAUACAAUGUGAAGAAAGAAGACAAACAAAGAACAUUUCUAAACGGCACUCGUAUUUCAUUAAAUUUUGUUUAAAAUGUA